GGGAAGAGUCUGAGACCCCGGAGCCAGCGUCCCGGCCCGCGGGCAGUCUCUCCCCGUCCACCACCCGCCCCAUGUGUCAGGCUGUUCCCUCCAAUGGUCACCACCGCUUCCCCUGGUGGCCCUGUCCCGCGGAGCGGCUGGGCCCGGACCGCCCUGGCGCGCGCGGCCACCAGGGGGCGCUCGGGGUCUGAGUCGCUGCUGACCUGGGCGCUCAGUCCUUAAGGUUUUCAUCCGGAGCUGCUUGGGAACCAGGUUCUCCUCUGAGGACAGGGACACAAGUGGGCCAGGCAGACAGAACCGCAGCUCUGUGACCCAGGAGUGGCGAGGGGACGAUUUCAAGUCACCAUGUGGUAGCGCACUCCUGUCACCAGGGCACUUUGGGAGGCUGAGACAGGAGGAUCCCAAGUUCAAACCCAGCCUGGGCUACUUAGGGAGAAUCAGUCUCAAAAUUUUAAAAGUUUAAAAAGGGCUGGCGAUGUAGCUCAGUAGGAUAGGCCCUAGGUUCAGUCCCAGCAUUGAGAAAAAAUGUACAAACAGCAAAAAAGAAAGCGAGCCCUUCCUUUAGCCACCCCUGGCAUGCAGCCGGGGGACUUGGUGCUCGGGGGGACCCUGGGGCACUCACCACACACCAGACCCAGCACAGGGGCGCGGAUGCACAGUGCCACGCGGACAGCGCUGGACACGGAUGCUGCCCACAGACGCAGGCACAGCGUGUCCCGGCCCCAUGCCCCGCCGCCCCUUAGCCACCCAGUCCUGGUCCUGCAACGUGUGGCCUGCUCUGCCCCAACUUGGGGCGUGGACAGUGAUUCCCUAAUUGCCAGCAAAGGGUUCCUGUCCUCAGCGCCUCCUAGGCCUGGUGCCACCCAUCCCCUGCCCCGUUCCCAUGCCCGCCCAGUGCCAAGGCCACAGGGAGGGACAGGAGGGGACAGAGGCAGAGCCAGACUUUCCUAGGAAGUCUGAGAGGGUUGUGCACAGCUAGGGGCAUCAGAGCUGGGUUUUGUAGGAUGACCAGGAGUUCACUGUGAAGCUAGGGGUGAGGCUGCUGCAGAUAGAAGGCCAUUGUGGGCAGCUUCCUCUCAGGCUGCU
rnacentral:lncRNA from 1 species